GACAGAGGGUGCAAACGUUGCUCGGAAUCACUGGGCGUAAAGGGCGUGUAGGCGGGAAGGAAAGUCAGAUGUGAAAUCCCUGGGCUCAACCCAGGAACUGCAUUUGAAACUCCCUUUCUUGAGUACCGGAGAGGAAGGUGGAAUUCCUGGUGUAGCGGUGAAAUGCGCAGAUAUCAGGAGGAACACCAAUGGCGAAGGCAGCUCGCUGGGACGGUACUGACGCUGGAGACGCGAAAGCGUGGGGAGCAAACAGG
rnacentral:rRNA from 1 species